rnacentral:rRNA from 1 species
CAGCCGCCACGGGAAUACGAAGGGGGCUAGCGUUGUUCGGAUUUACUGGGCGUAAAGCGCACGUAGGCGGACUUUUAAGUCAGGGGUGAAAUCCCGGGGCUCAACCCCGGAACUGCCUUUGAUACUGGAAGUCUUGAGUAUGGUAGAGGUGAGUGGAAUUCCGAGUGUAGAGGUGAAAUUCGUAGAUAUUCGGAGGAACACCAGUGGCGAAGGCGGCUCACUGGACCAUUACUGACGCUGAGGUGCGAAAGCGUGGGGAGCAAACAGGAUUAGAUACCCGCGUAGUCCCUGUCUCUUAUAC